rnacentral:rRNA from 1 species
GGACCCGCGGCGCAUUAGCUAGUUGGAGAGGUAACGGCUCACCAAGGCAACGAUGCGUAGCCGACCUGAGAGGGUGAUCGGCCACAUUGGAACUGAGACACGGUCCAGACUCCUACGGGAGGCAGCAGUGGGGAAUAUUGCACAAUGGGCGAAAGCCUGAUGCAGCAACGCCGCGUGAGUGAUGACGGUCUUCGGAUUGUAAAGCUCUGUCUUUUGGGACGAUAAUGACGGUACCAAAGGAGGAAGCCACGGCUAACUACGUGCCAGCAGCCGCGGUAAUACGUAGGUGGCAAGCGUUGUCCGGAUUUACUGGGCGUAAAGGAUGUGUAGGCGGACAUUUAAGUGAGAUGUGAAAGCCCCGAGCUCAACUUGGGGACUGCAUUUCAAACUGGGUGUCUAGAGUGCAGGAGAGGAAAGCGGAAUUCCUAGUGUAGCGGUGAAAUGCGUAGAGAUUAGGAAGAACAUCAGUGGCGAAGGCGGCUUUCUGGACUGUAACUGACGCUGAGGCAUGAAAGCGUGGGGAGCAAACAGGAUUAGAUACCCUGGUAGUCCACGCCGUAAACGAUGAGUACUAGGUGUAGGAGGUAUCGACUCCUUCUGUGCCGCAGUUAACACAAUAAGUACUCCGCCUGGGAAGUACGGUCGCAAGUAUUAAAACUCAAAGGAAUUGACGGGGGCCCGACACAACGCAGCGGAGCAUGUGGUUUUAAUUCGAAGCUAACGCGAAGAACCUUAUACUACGUGU